rnacentral:rRNA from 1 species
UGAAUAUCAAAUAAAAAUUUGAGUACAAAACGUAGUUAAUCAAAUUGUCUGAUAGGUGCGGAGUCAAACAUGCAGGAGUAAUUCUGCGUGGCUAGAGGAGGGGUUUGUGUCCUAUCAGGUAGUUGGUGAGGCAACGGCUCACCAAGCCUAUGACGGGUAGUCGGUCUGAAAGGAUGGUCGACCACACUGGAACUGAGACACGGUCCAGACUCCUACGGGAGGCAGCAGUGGGGAAUAUUGCGCAAUGGGGGAAACCCUGACGCAGCGACGCCGCGUGAAGGACGAAGGCCUUCGGGUUGUAAACUUCUUUUGUUCCUGACAAAGGGGCAGGGGAUAGAGGAUAGUUUGUACGAAAGAGAAUUAGUUUAUACAACAGAGAAUUGGUGAAUUGGAAAAAAUCUAAUUCUCUAAUUCUCUAAUUCUCUAUUUUCUAUUCCCUGCCUUUGAUGGUAAGGGACGAAUAAGCCACGGCUAACUACGUGCCAGCAGCCGCGGUAAUACGUAGGUGGCAAAUGUUACUCGGAUUUACUAGGCGUAAAGCGCAUGUAGGCGGUUCAAUAAGUCCUUUGUAAAAUUCUUCGGUUCAACCGAAAAAAGUCAACGGAUACUAUUGGACUUGAGUGUGGAAAAGGGAACCGGAAUUCCUGGUGUAGCGGUGAAAUGCGUAGAUAUCAGGAGGAACACCAAUGGCAAAAGCAGGUUCCUGGGCUAAUACUGACGCUCAGAUGCGAAAGCUAGGGGAGCAAACAGGAUUAGAUACCCU